rnacentral:rRNA from 1 species
ACGGGGGGUGCAAGCGUUACUCGGAAUCACUGGGCGUAAAGAGCAUGUAGGCGGAUUAAUAAGUUUGAAGUGAAAUCCUAUAGCUUAACUAUAGAACUGCUUUGAAAACUGUUAAUCUAGAAUGUGGGAGAGGUAGAUGGAAUUUCUGGUGUAGGGGUAAAAUGCGUAGAGAUCAGGAGGAACACCGAUGGCGAAGGCGAUCUACUGGACAAUUACUGACGCUGAGAUGCGAAAGCUUGGGGAGCAAACAG